GGGCCGGUAGCUCAGUUGGUAGAGCAGGGGACUUUUAAUCCCGAGGUCGCAGGUUCGAGUCCUGCCCGGCCCA
rnacentral:tRNA from 1 species